rnacentral:misc_RNA from 1 species
AAGUCGUAACAAGGUAUCCGUAGGUGAACCUGCGGAUGGAUCAUUGCAAGAAGUUUUAAUACACUUCGACCCUUCUGUUGAACAUGUUUGCUCUUUUAACGGAGAGAUGAGAGCGCUCGUUCGUUCUCUUCUCUCCUUUCUUUCUACCUUUUUCAUACAAACACUUUGUACUGAAUUGAUGUAAACUAUUUAGACAAGAUACAGCCUAACUGCUGUGUUAUUGUUUUAAAUUUCUUAAAUAAAAAAUUUAAAGCACAACUCUUAGCAACGGAUAUCUUGGCUCCUA